UACAGAGGUCUCGAGCGUUAGGCGGAAUCACUGGGCUUAAAGCGUGUGUAGGCGGAUCGUUAAGUACCUUGUGAAAUCCCACGGCUUAACCGUGGAACUGCUUGGUAUACUGGCGGUCUUGAGCCAGCUAGGGGCUACCGGAACAAAUGGUGGAGCGGUGAAAUGCGUAGAUAGUCAUUUGGAACGCCAAUGGUGAAAACAGGGUAGCUGGGGCUGUGCUGACGCU
rnacentral:rRNA from 1 species